UACAGAGGUCUCAAGCGUUGUUCGGAUUCAUUGGGCGUAAAGGGUGCGUAGCGGCGCCGUAAGUCGGGUGUGAAAUUUCGGAGCUUAACUCCGAAACUGCAUUCGAUACUGCGGUGCUUGAGGACUGGAGAGGAGACUGGAAUUCAUGGUGUAGCAGUGAAAUGCGUAGAGAUCAUGAGGAAGACCAGUGGCGAAGGCGGGUCUCUGGACAGUUCCUGACACUGAGACACGAAGGCCAGGGGAGCAAACGGG
rnacentral:rRNA from 1 species